rnacentral:pre_miRNA from 1 species
AAUGCAACGUGAUAUUGGCACGGCUCAAUUAAAUAACAAAGCUCAAAACAUAUGAGCAACUGUUUUCUAAUUGAACCGCACUAAUAUCUCGUUGUACCAA